GUUAUCAUAGGUUACGCGCGACUCCAGAGGCAAUUUGGAAUCUCGGCACGAAAUCGUCUGAUGAAAAUCUGAGGUGCCCGACGCAUAACAUUUUGAACGUGCCACGGAGGAUCAAGGCAAAAAACGAGAGCAAAAAAUGGUGCACGCUGAAGGCGGAAAUGAAGCAUGAUCUGGCUUGCAUCUGGUCAUGAAGAAAUUGCUGACACGUUAGUUGCAGUCCACCUCCACCAACAGGGUGGAAAACAAAGGUCGCCAUUCCGAUUAGCUGCUAUCUCCCAGUUCAAGCACUUUUGUGUCUGGACACUGGUUCCUGUGGAUGGGGUGUUACAAGCUUUACUGUCUGAUAUAGAAGUGAUGAGCAUCCAUAAGGACACAUGCCAGAAAGGGAGUCUCUUUGGGAUGACAAACCCUCA